GAUGAACGCUGGCGGCGUGCCUAAUACAUGCAAGUCGAGCGAAUGGAUUAAGAGCUUGCUCUUAUGAAGUUAGCGGCGGACGGGUGAGUAACACGUGGGUAACCUGCCCAUAAGACUGGGAUAACUCCGGGAAACCGGGGCUAAUACCGGAUAAUAUUUCGAACUGCAUGGUUGAAAAUUGAAAGGAGGCUUCGGCUGUCACCUAUGGAUGGACCCGAGUCGCAUUAGCUAGUUGGUGAGGUAACGGCUCACCAAGGCAACGAUGCGUAGCCGACCUGAGAGGGUGAUCGGCCACACUGGGACUGAGACACGGCCCAGACUCCUACGGGAGGCAGCAGUAGGGAAUCUUCCGCAAUGGACGAAAGUCUGACGGAGCAACGCCGCGUGAGUGAUGAAGGCUUUCGGGUCGUAAAACUCUGUUGUUAGGGAAGAACAAGUGCUAGUUGAAUAAGCUGGCACCUUGACGGUACCUAACCAGAAAGCCACGGCUAACUACGUGCCAGCCGCCGCAGUAA
rnacentral:rRNA from 1 species